UGAAACACACACUGCCCCUAUUUAAACUGUCACAUUAUUAGCAUUCAUGAGAGUGACACAUUUCCUCACGUUUUUUGAUUUACUCAGCUCCACUGAGUCAGUGUAAAGACAUUAAAGGUUCAGAAGUUUUGAAGUGAGGUUUUGUUAAAAGAUUAUAAGGAACAACCUGCAAGGAAAAACUCUUGUUCCGUCUUUAUUUAUUUAAGUUGUUGUGAGUAUAGCUCAAAGUUUCUCUGAAAAUGAUCAAAUGAGGCGGAUGUUAGAGGAAAAAUGAUAAUGUGUAUGUGCAAAGCAGACAUCUAUGUAGUUGCGUUGUAAGUAUCGGCAAAUAUGCAGUCAAUAUGCACCACAAACUGUCUUUUUUUCUCUUCUUGGGGAGGACACAAUGCUUGUUUGUAAAUGGACCAUGGGUGCCAAAGCAACAGGAAAUAUCAAUUUUCUUGUGGACAGGUAGUUGCGCUGAAGUUAGCAUCAAAGUAGGCAAGUAUUAAAAGGAAAAAUAUCAUGACAGUUUAACGUCACACAGGAAGGGAUCAGGAAUUAAAUAAUCAGCCUCUUUUUUUUAUGUGGGUCAAAUCUGUGGUUGCGUUACUACGGGAACAGGAUAAUCACUGUAGAUGUUUAACUGUGGUUAUCAGGUCUCAUUAUGUGCAGCAGAUAUGCCCAACCGUUUUUAUGAGCGGUCCUUCUCAAAGUUCAGUCUGCAUGAACACCGACCGGCGACCGUCAUUUUAUUAAACUGGCACAUUCACAUUUAAUCUUCUAAUUAUUUAACGACUGAAGUGAAAACUUUCUGCCCACGUCCGCUGUGCAUUGUUGAUUCGGCAGCGAUGGAGUUCCUACUAACCAUACGAGAAUAAACGGAGCAUUAGUCGUUAUGCGGUAGCGGGUUUCCCACUUUAGCAGAAAGAUUCAGGAGCCAUUUUCCAGGAGAGGUGGCUGAAAUUCAGGUGAAAGUUGGUAACACGGCGUUUAUGUGGCUUCUAACAACCUGGGACUGCAGAAGCCAAACCACACCCAGUUAAGUCAAGCUGGUAAAUGUUAGUAAAUGGGAGGAGCAGGGCCUCACCCAUAAUCUGCCCUGUAGCUCAGGUUAAAGAAACAACUCCAUCCAGUGUAAAUCAGUGCUGUCAUCAUAGCAACAUGCUCACUGUAAAACAUGGAUCAAUGCACAAACACGGAUUUGUGCAUUAACUUGCAGGUUUUAAUUGCGCAUGUCUGUUUUCUUAUCUGGUUGUUCAGGAUUAGAGAGACAUCAAUUACUUUAUUAAUCAGAGCAGCUCAGUUUUAACCUGUGUUUAAGCUGAUUUUUUUAUUAUUAUUUUUUUUAACUUUUUAUUUUUCCCUACAUAUCAAAUAACAUCCCUCCAUUGUGAAGGAGGGAACUAGGGAACCAGUAGUUAAUAGGGAAAAUGAUAAACUUCCUGCUUAUACAUGCUGAAAUCUCUAAAAUAAAGCUGAGCGCUGGCGAAACACUUCCUAUUGUGCGUCUAAGGCAUUUCACACUGUGUGCCAGUGGUUGUUAUGGAGAUGCUCGUUGCCAUGCAUGCUGCUGAGUAAGAGGGAGUGGCUGAGAGGCUGGACUGGAAAGAUGAGUCGGCUGUGGAGGAAUGCGUCAUUUAGCUGAGAAAUCCCUCGGUUUGUUGAUUCCCUGGUAGCAGGCGGACAUUUACUCUGCACCAACCACAGAAAUGUUCGGAUUUAGCUGCAGGAACUCUUAUAUUUUAGUGAUGGUAUUUAAAGUUUGUCAAAUGUAGAUUGUUGUACAAGCGUUACUGGUCUGGCCAUUUGGCUCCCUCUGCAGUCGAGCUUUUCCUUGUUCCAGUGAACAACUUCCAGCAUCGAUAGAAAGUAAAUCAGCGGCUACAUUCCUGGAGAACUCUGUGUGGAGUCGGUUAGUAAACCUACGUUUCUUAGAGCAUUCCCGUCAUGAAGCAACCAGACCAUAACAUUUACAUUUACCUUUUUGUGACGCAGUGCUCAAUCCAAGUUGAACUUUACUCUCUGAUUAAACUGCGUUGAGUUUGAUAGGAGUGGGAAUUCAGAGUGGAGUCUCUCCGGGUUGUGAAAGACGCUUUAAACGAUGAAUCAUCCGUUCAUCUCCUGCUGUCGGCACCAAUAAUCAGUCAUGCUCAGACUCUGCCGAGGUGUUUGAGGAUUUACCCUGGGCUGUCCUGAGUAGGUGCAACUUACUGCACUUCUCCAUCUCUUAUUUCAAACACAGAGCCUUGAUGCAGACGGAGGAUUCGGGCCGUACUAAGAAACAAAUUAUAAACUCGCAUGAGGAUAAAGUCGUAACACUUCAAUGGCGAAAAGUCAUAAUUCCUUUUUCUUAGCAUGGCCCUAGUACUCCGUCAUAAGGAAAUCUGAAUAAAGUUUAAAAAUCUUUAACUUCAUGUGAGCCUCAUGACAGUGGCGUGUCACUGAUUUGACUGACGAAACGGAUCCAACUGGAGAUCGGUCAUGUCCAGCUUGACA